ACCCAUCUCGUUUGGCCUCUAGAGAAUGAUGCCUCAGAAGAACUCCAUAUUGGCACCAUUGCACUUAGUUAAGUUCUUUCCCACCAUGCUAGUUCAAGUAGGGGUUCAAGAAUGGCCUCAGAAGAACUCCAUAUUGGCCACACUAGUUGCCUACCUUUCACUUCAUCAUAUGUGUAUAGGCUUCUCCUGAAUGUAAGCACAUACUUUGCAACCCCAGAACUGGACGAAUACGGUGUAUGAGUCACAAACGAUUAAAGCCUACCACGGUGGAAGGCCACGAAAAAGUGUUCAAAGCACUCUUACGUUUUCAACUUAAUAUUGAGUGAUUGAGGGAUUUUAAGGUCUCAUCAAUUUUAUUUAUUUAAUCACAAUCAAAUAAAUAAUGUCCUAUUUACAACUACUAGUCCAAAGUUAAUGAAAUUAGUAGCAUAUAAUAUCCCCACUAUUCGUUUUCAUAAAACAAAUCAAUAUCAAAACAUUUUUCAAAAUAUUGGAGAUAUAUAUAACUACUAAUUGUAUUCAUUAUAGUUUUAGUAGCGUAUGAUACUCCCACUAUUUGUUUUGAGAAAAACAAAUCAAUAUCAAAAACGAAUUUUUCAAAUAUUAGAAGUAACUACUACUACUAAGGUUUUUGCAUUCCUUUGAAAUUGGACUUUAUAGUUAUCUUAGGCUCUUGGAUGACCAUGGACUUAUAAGGUUAUUGCAACAACGAGCCAUCAUUGUUGAAUAUAAACUCGGGGAGGUUGUGUCAAUUUAAUUACGUGCUUAUCAAUCCAAUUAAAACCAUUUUCAUUGAGCCAUUAGAAAUGAAAGACAAUCAUUCAUUGCUAAUUGGGGCAUUGGACCCUUUUAAUCUUUAAUCUCAUGUCAAAACCCUCUUUUAGUUAUGUCUCCUUACCAAUAGUUAAAGAAACUCUAGUCUAGCACUAGAGGGAAUCAACUAACGAAUAGAGAUUAAGAAGUAAUAAGAAUUACAAACCGAUUUGUACAAAUUCCUAUAAAUUACAUAUACUAAAAGGGGAGAGAUAGAUUAACGUCAAACGUGACAAGGUCCAAUUAAACAGUAAUUAAAACACAUUCCCAAGGUUCAAACAAUUUGAUUUUAGCGCCUUAUCUCAUAGCUCAAUUAUCGUUUAAGGCAUAAGUCCAAAGUCAUCCAUUUUACAAUUACUUAACACAUUUAAAUAAUCAUAAUGGAAUGCAACAUAAACAUUUAGAUUUAAUGCAUAUGGGCAUAAUAUAAUUAUGAGUUUAAACAACUAACAAAAUUAAAAUCAAAUAUUUUAACUUUCUAGUUAGUAAGGGCUUAAAUGCAAAUAUGAAAAAGUUAGGGGUCAAACCGUAAAUACUCAAAAGUAUAAAAUAUCUUUUCCAAAUUACAAAAUACCCCACAAGUGGGUAUACAACUAGGGGAGGCCGGCCAUGAAUUGGGGAGAAGAUAGAAAGUCUCACUUAUCUUCCCUUAAAUCAUGCAAAGUAGAAAAAAAAUCAAAAUUUUACUUGUCACUUGGUUUUGGUUUAAAUGGUUUUAAUUCAAAAGGUGAUGGAAAUCUCUUAGAUAAGCUUAUGGUUUUAUAAGUUUUUAAUAUGGUUAUGGAUGGUAAGAACAUCAUCUAAAACCAUAAAACUAUGCAUGAAAACCAAAUAAAAACACUUUCACCCAAAACCAAACCAUGAACACCAAGAACAAAACCAUGAACAUAUUUUCAAGAUUUGUGUAUUCUUGGUGAUUUUUCAAACCCAAAAACAAAAGUGACAAGGUUUCUACUUUCUAGCUUUGAAAUGAUGUGUGAGUGUCUUACAAUAAAACAAAAACACAUGCUCAAAACUUCCCCAAAAACGUGCCAACCACAAAGAACAAAACCCCAAAAUUUGUUCAUGACUUAUUCUUCAUUUCAUGCAUACAAAACAACUUUUACAUGCAUAUCUUUUUCAACUCUUGAUUUACAUUUUUCAAUCAUUGAAAAACAAAAGAUAAACAUACUUUUAAAUGAAGAAAUCAUAUGUCAAAACUCAUCUUUCAUUCAUGCAUACAAAACAACUUUUGCAUACAUAUCUUUCUCAACUUUUGAUUAACAUUUUUCAACUUUUGAAAAACAAAAGAUAAACAUACUUUGAAUGAAACAAUAAUAUGUCAUACAUAACAUUAAUACCCAUAUGCAUAAAAUCCAAAAGGACACAUUAUACAUAAACCUUUGGCUCUGAUACCAAUUGAAGGGAAAUCUAUGAGUUUCAUGUGGGAUUUCUUAAUGACUAGCAUGCAUAUACAAUUCAAAAUUUAUAUACAUGAGCAACGGAAGCAUGUUAUCAUAUAAUAUCAAAGCUAUAGUCAUGCAAAUCCCCUUCAAGGUUCAUAGGUUUAUAUAUAAUGCAUCAAAACAUUUUAUAGAAUCAAGAACAAAGUGAAGGUUAGUCUUAUACCUCUUGAUCUUGAUUUUAGACCAAGCAUGGACCACCUCCAAGCUCUUUGCUCCUUGAAAUCCUUGAGCCUAGCUUCCCUCCUUGCCUCCUCCACUUUGUUAGAAUGAGUGCUCCUAGGUUCUCUUCAAGUUUCCAAAGUAGGAAACCUCUAAAGAUCUUCACCCACAAGUGUAGUGAGAAGGAUGAUGGAAUCACCAAAAGGGUGAAAGAUUGUUAGCUAAAACACUCCCUUUGGUGGCCGGCCCUUUCUAGUGUUUUGAGAGAUAUUCUUUUGCCUCUUUUUGUUCUAAAACACCAAACAAAAAACUUAAGGAAAAUAUCAUUAUAAAGUUCCUUAUAUAUCAAAGAAAACCUAGCCAACAAAUUGACUAAAUAUCUCACCCAUUUCACACCUAUAUGGCCGGCCCCUUUGUUGUUUAUUUGGGCUUUGGGCUUUUAUAAUUUCAAGUCAUCCAAUGCUUGAAUAAAAGCCCAAUGGGUUUAGGCCCAAUGGGCCCAAUUAACCCGAACGUUUCUUUAAGCCCAAAACGAUCUUUAUCGCUUUUAUGAUUUCUUUAGACUUUCUAAAUUAAUCACAACAAUUAAUUAAUCCAAUUAAUUAUUUCCAUCAUCCAUUGGUUACUCACUACAAUAGUGUAUUGGUGAACAAUCUUUUAGGUUCUAAUUAGCAAGGCAGUGAGGUGAUUGGAACCAAUCCAAUUAAUUCAAUCACUUAUUGAAUUGAAACUUCAUUUCAAUUCACCAUUCUUCUUUGGUGACUACAUUUAAUCAUUUAGAAGAACUCACAAGCUAUGAGUGACAUCUAACCAUAUGUCAUAG
rnacentral:lncRNA from 1 species